UGAAUACGAGACGCUAAGGCGUUGAAGUAGUGUAUGUCAUACUUCCAAGAAAAGCUUGCACUGUCAUAGAUAAAAAACGCCUGUACCAUAACCGACACAGGUGGGUAGGUAGAGUAUACUAAGGGGCGCGAGAUAACUCUCUCUAAGGAACUCGGCAAAAUAACUCCGUAACUUCGGGAGAAGGGGUGCCUUAUUUAUAAGGCUGCAAUAACAAGAUCCAAGCAACUGUUUAUCAAAAACACAGGUCUCCGCUAAGUCGUAAGACGAUGUAUGGGGGCUGACGCCUGCCCAGUGCCAGAAGGUUAAAGAAGUUGGUUAGCAAUAGCGAAGCUGAUAACUGAAGCCCUGGUGAACGGCGGCCGUAACAAUAACGGUCCUAAGGUAGCGAAAUUCCUUGUCGGGUAAGUUCCGACCCGCACGAAAGGCGUAAUGAUUUGGAUACUGUCUCGGAGAGGGGCUCGGUGAAAUAGACUUGUCUGUGAAGAUGCGGACUACCUGCACCAGGACAGAAAGACCCUAUGAAGCUUACUGUAACUUGAAAUUGAAAUUGGACUUUAUUCGCGCAGUAUAGGUGGGAGGCGUUGAUUGUAAUCUUGCGGGAUUAUUGGAGCCAUCAGUGAGAUACCACCCUUGUAAUGUUAGAUUUCUAACUUUGAAUCAUUAUCUGGUCAAAGAACAGUUUCAGGCGGGCAGUUUGACUGGGGCGGUCGCCUCCUAAACGGUAACGGAGGCGUACAAAGGUUUCCUCUGAACGGUUAGAAAUCGUAUCUAGAGUGUAAAGGCAUAAGGAAGCUUGACUGUGAGACCUACAAGUCGAGCAGGGACGAAAGUCGGUCUUAGUGAUCUGACGGUACUGAGUGGAAAGGCCGUCACUCAACGGAUAAAAGUUACUCUAGGGAUAACAGGCUGAUCUCCCCCAAGAGUUCACAUCGACGGGGAGGUUUGGCACCUCGAUGUCGGCUCAUCGCAUCCUGGGGCGGUAGUACGUCCCAAGGGUUGGGCUGUUCGCCCAUGAAAGCGGUACGCGAGCUGGGUUCAGAACGUCGUGAGACAGUUCGGUCCAUAUCCGGUGUAGGCGUUAGAAUAUUGAGAGGAGCCUUCUUUAGUACGAGAGGACCGAGAAGGACAUACCUCUGGUGUACCAGUUAUCGUGCUAACGGUAAACGCUGGGUAGCUAUGUAUGGAGUGGAUAACCGCUGAAAGCAUCUAAGUGGGAAGCCCACCUCAAGAUAAGUAUUC
rnacentral:rRNA from 1 species